rnacentral:rRNA from 1 species
UACGUAGGGGGCAAGCGUUGUCCGGAUUUAUUGGGCGUAAAGAGCUCGUAGGUGGUUCGGUAAGUCGGAUGUGAAAUCUCCAGGCUCAACCUGGAGGGGUCAUUCGAUACUGCCGUGACUAGAGUUCGGUAGGGGAGUGUGGAAUUCCUGGUGUAGCGGUGAAAUGCGUAGAUAUCAGGAGGAACACCGGUGGCGAAGGCGGCUAUCUGGACAGAAACUGACGCUGAGGCGCGAAAGCUAGGGGAGCAAACAGG